rnacentral:tRNA from 1 species
AAGAAAGUGGCAGAAUGGCUAUGCGGUCGGCUUGAAACCGGCACAAGGGGGUUCGACUCCUCCCUUUCUCG